CAUUUGUUUCUUUCCCCUCAUCCUUCCUUUUGUCUAUAUUAUUAUGAUAUUCUCCUGGAAAGAGCUAUUUUUGAAUAAAAGGGAUCAACGAACCCAUUACCUUACCUUUAAGAUAGAUCAGAAAACAUGGGCAUAAUUAUGGGUGAUUAUUCAGACUAGUGCACACAUUUUACAGUUUAAACAAGGCAAUGCCGCGCGUGGCAUCCCCUCGUAUGUAACAUAUUGGGGACAAAUAUGGACACUAUAUUUGUAUAUGACACAUGCAGAAAAUGGUAAAUUGAAUAUGCAUAUUUGAUACAUAAACUAUUUUUUUAGAAAUCAACCAAAACAAUCAGUAACUGGAAAUACCUUUAAUAUUGUCUUUAGAACCAGCAGGGUAAAAAAAUGAGCAACC
rnacentral:lncRNA from 1 species